CUGGUUAUCCAUACCACCCUGAACAUGCCUGAUCUCGGGAGCUAAGCAGGGUCAGGCCUGGUUAAUACCUGGA
rnacentral:rRNA from 1 species